GAUAUUUCUAUCCCUGAUUAGUCUCCCCCCUUUAAGUACUUGUCUGGCUUUUGAAUGGUUCAAACUAUAUUGCUUCGUUUCAGCAGAGUUAGCGAAUACAUAACAAAUGAAACUACUUUUGGCUUCAUGUUAGAUGGGUUUUGAAUGGGCAGCAUUUGGGAACAGGUCCCUUUGCACUCAUAAUAAACCCACUUGGAUUGACCUCAAAGCUUGAGAAAUAUGGCAAGAAUCAGCUGGCUGCUUAUCAAUUAGUUCCAAGGACCUAUCUACUUUAUAAACUCCCAUGCCUGUUGUAGUUUAGAUGAUGGAUCAUGAAAAAUACCAUGUGUUGUAAAGAAGAGAAAAGACUUAGAGCCCAGACUAUAUAUAGAGUCUACUUGUUUAGAAGGUUAAGGUUGUGAUCAAUUAAAACAGACUAUUCUCAUUUGUUGUGCAAUUCAAAUAAUAUAUGCAUCUUUCUUCAAA